GACGAACGCUGGCGGCGUGCUUAACACAUGCAAGUCGAACGGAAAGGCCCUGCUUUUGUGGGGUGCUCGAGUGGCGAACGGGUGAGUAACACGUGAGUAACCUGCCCUUGACUUUGGGAUAACUUCAGGAAACUGGGGCUAAUACCGGAUAGGAGCUCCUGCUGCAUGGUGGGGGUUGGAAAGUUUCGGCGGUGGGGGAUGGACUAGCGGCUUAUCAGCUUGUUGGUGGGGUAGUGGCGUACCAAGGCUUUGACGGGUAGCCGGCCUUAGAGGGUGACCGGCCACAUUGCGACUGCGGUACGGCCCAGACUCCUACGGGCGGCAGCGGUGGGGAACAUUGCACAGUGGGCCGACGCCUGAUGCAGCAGCGCCCCGUGCGGGAUGCCGGCCUUCGGGUUGUAAACCGCUUUCGCCUGUGACGAAGCGUGAGUGACGGUAAUGGGUAAGGAAGCCCCGGCUAACUACGUG
rnacentral:rRNA from 1 species